rnacentral:rRNA from 1 species
GAUGAACGCUGGCGGCGUGCCUAAUACAUGCAAGUCGAGCGAACAGACGAGGAGCUUGCUCCUCUGACGUUAGCGGCGGACGUGUGAGUAACACGUGUAUAACCUACCUAUAAGACUGGGAUAACUUCGGGAAACCGGAUCUAAUACCGGAUAAUAUAUUGAACCGCAUGGUUCAAUAGUGAGAGACGGUUUUGCUGUCACUUAUAGAUGGAUCCGCGCCGCAUUAGCUAGUUGGUAAGGUAACGGCUUACCAAGGCAACGAUGCGUAGCCGACCUGAGAGGGUGAUAGGCCACACUGGAACUGAGACACGGUCCAGACUCCUACGGGAGGCAGCAGUAGGGAAUCUUCCGCAAUGGGCGAAAGCAUGACGGAGCAACGCCGCGUGAGUGAUGAAGGUCUUCGGAUCGUAAAACUCUGUUAUUAGGGAAGAACAAAUGUGUAAGUAAAUAUGCACGUCUUGACGGUACCUAAUCAGAAAGCCACGGCUAACUACGUG